UCCAAUUUCUUUCUCUGGGGCUUAUCCCUCCCCCUCACCGCUGCUCUCCAUCUUGAAUGGCGAUGGCUUCCUCUUCGCUCUCGCCGUGGAGUAUGGCCACUCUUCGCGCCGCUCUUCCCCCGUCUCCCUCUCCUCGCCCUACUUCGGUUCGCUUCCCACCUCCUUCGUCCUUCCCUUCGUCGUCUCGAGUGGGUUCUGGUCGUGCUCGGUCCGUGCCCUUGCAGGCUUUUUCUGGCCUUGCUCCGAUGAGUCUUCUUCUCUCUGUCGGCAUGGGGGUUGAUAACUUUGAACAUAUGCUCGGCAAUAUUGACUUUGGGAGCAAAUUCUACGCAAUGAGACAUGGAAGACGUGUUCCAAAACUCAAUAGACCCCCAGAUCAACGUCGAGCUCUUCUACGUGGUCUUACAACACAAUUACUAAAACAUGGUAGGAUAAAAACUACCAGAGCAAGGGCAAGUGCAAUGAGGAAGUUUGUAGACAAGAUGAUAACAUUGGCAAAGGAUGGUUCUCUCCAUAAGAGAAGACAAGCAUUGGGAUUCAUAUAUGAGAAGCAAAUUGUCCAUGCAUUGUUUGCAGAGGUCCCAGAUAGAUAUGGAGACAGGAACGGAGGCUAUACGAGAAUCAUCAGAACUCUACCAAGGCGUGGAGACAAUGCACCUAUGGCUUACAUUGAACUUGUUUAGGUUAGUUGUGUCUCAUCUGAAAUAAUAUUUAUGUAUUUGCAAGUUUCCAUAUGAGUUUUUCCCCCUCUAUGCUAUUCCGAAGUGCAACUCAUCCUAUGUUUGUGAAUGGUGUUGGUUUGGGUGGUUUUAAUUGGACCUCAAAUUCAACAAAUAUUGUCUUGGCAUUUUUCCUUCUAUGUGGCCCAAAUCAAGCCUUGCUUACAAAUGCCUGUGAGCGUUGGGACUUCAAUUUGGGUUUAUGUCAUGUUUCUUAGUUUUGCUUGUUUGUAGAGAUUUGUAUGGAGUUAAGGAAAAAAUGGGCUGAUAUUCUUAGAUCAGUUAACCCCCUUCAUCCAACAUAAUAGUCACAAGAUGCAAAGAAAUAUAGGACAGACAAAAACUACAGGAUGAGAUAUCAAAGAGAGUGAAUCUAUAUUUAUCCUACCUCACUUUACUAGUUAUUAUAGAGGGUGUGAGAGCAUAGAAAUACCUAGUCAAGGCGCUAAGAAUAGGAGCACUGACAGCGAGCGUGAGCGUGAGAAGCACUGACAGCUCCAGCCUAGUUGGGUGAUUGUCGCUUUGUCAGAUCCAUUUAUUGCUGGGGAUGUUCGAUUUCUUGUCAUCACUUCACUUGCCAAGUAACAUUUUCAUGCUACAUUUGGACUAUUAGGAGUAUUGCUUACAUCCCCUCCAUAGGGAACUUCAUCAUCAUGUGUGAUAUGAUGUGGAUACUGCACCAAUCAACCAGUAGAUGUUACCCAGCUUGUGAUGCAACCUCAUUUGUUGUCUGUUCAGUGUUACCCGAGUCACAACCUUCAAUAGUCUUUCAUAGCAAAGGAACCCGAAUAUCAAAUGUCGGAUUAAAUGAAGUUGAAUUUCUAUUCAAUCUUCAUGCUUGAAGGAUAACCUACGAGUAUGGGCAAUGUCUAAAAGGCAGAGCGCUUACCGGUGCACCAUUUUUCUGAGCAAGAAAAAGGGAUGAAAGAUUCUCAAAAUUGAACUGCAUAAUUCGAGGGCAUUUUAAUUCUCCAUUCCUUGCAACCACAUUUGUAUCCUUUUGCUUCCUGUCUAUUGUUCAAGUUCUUCAAACGUCUUUAUUGCUGCAUGUAGCCAGACUUAGCAAUUAUGCUACAUCUUCGGUUGUUCUACACUUGCAAAGUACUCUUCAAUCUCACAGGAGGAGAAUUGUGUAAUAGAUGCUGCUUUUACCCA